rnacentral:rRNA from 1 species
AACGAACGCUGGCGGCAUGCCUAACACAUGCAAGUCGAACGAAGCCUUCGGGCUUAGUGGCGCACGGGUGCGUAACACGUGGGAAUCUGCCCUUCGGUUCGGAAUAACAGUUAGAAAUGACUGCUAAUACCGAAUGAUGACGUAAGUCCAAAGAUUUAUCGCCGAAGGAUGAGCCCGCGUAGGAUUAGGUAGUUGGUAGGGUAAUGGCCUACCAAGCCGACGAUCCUUAGCUGGUCUGAGAGGAUGAUCAGCCACACUGGGACUGAGACACGGCCCAGACUCCUACGGGAGGCAGCAGUGGGGAAUAUUGGACAAUGGGCGAAAGCCUGAUCCAGCAAUGCCGCGUGAGUGAUGAAGGCCUUAGGGUUGUAAAGCUCUUUUACCAGGGAUGAUAAUGACAGUACCUGGAGAAUAAGCUCCGGCUAACUCCGUG